GACGAACGCUGGCGGCGUGCCUAAUACAUGCAAGUAGAACGCUGAAGGAGGAGCUUGCUUCUCUGGAUGAGUUGCGAACGGGUGAGUAACGCGUAGGUAACCUGCCUGGUAGCGGGGGAUAACUAUUGGAAACGAUAGCUAAUACCGCAUAAGAGUAGAUGUUGCAUGACAUUUGCUUAAAAGGUGCAAUUGCAUCACUACCAGAUGGACCUGCGUUGUAUUAGCUAGUUGGUGAGGUAACGGCUCACCAAGGCGACGAUACAUAGCCGACCUGAGAGGGUGAUCGGCCACACUGGGACUGAGACACGGCCCAGACUCCUACGGGAGGCAGCAGUAGGGAACCUUCGGCAAUGGACGGAAGUCUGACCGAGCAACGCCGCGUGAGUGAAGAAGGUUUUCGGAUCGUAAAGCUCUGUUGUAAGAGAAGAACGAGUGUGAGAGUGGAAAGUUCACACUGGACGUAUCUACCAGAAAGGAC
rnacentral:rRNA from 1 species